GCCUUCGGGUGCUGGACAGUGGCGCACGGGUGAGUAACGCGUGGGAACCUGCCCUGAGGUACGGGAUAACGGCUGGAAACGGCCGCUAAUACCGUAUGUCCCCUGCGGGGGAAAGAUUUAUCGCCUUGGGAGGGGCCCGCGUCCGAUUAGCUAGUUGGUGAGGUAAUGGCUCACCAAGGCGACGAUCGGUAGCUGGUCUGAGAGGAUGAUCAGCCACACUGGGACUGAGACACGGCCCAGACUCCUACGGGAGGCAGCAGUGGGGAAUAUUGGACAAUGGGGGCAACCCUGAUCCAGCAAUGCCGCGUGUGUGAUGAAGGCCUUAGGGUUGUAAAGCACUUUCACUGGUGAAGAUGAUGACGGUAGCCAGAGAAGAAGCCCCGGCUAACUCCGUGCCAGCAGCCGCGGUAAUACGGAGGGGGCAAGCGUUGUUCGGAAUUACUGGGCGUAAAGGGCGUGUAGGCGGCGAUUUUAGUCAGGCGUGAAAGCCCGGGGCUCAACCUCGGAAUAGCGCUUGAUACUGGAUCGCUUGAGACCGGAAGAGGGUAGUGGAAUUCCCAGUGUAGAGGUGAAAUUCGUAGAUAUUGGGAAGAACACCAGUGGCGAAG
rnacentral:rRNA from 1 species